rfam:Triticum aestivum genome assembly, contig: Triticum_aestivum_CS42_TGACv1_scaffold_019500_1AS
AGAUGCGAUCAUACCAGCACUAAAGCAUCGGAUCCCAUCAGAACUCCGAAGUUAAGCGUGCUUGGGCGAGAGUAGUNGUGACGUCCUGGGAAGUCCUCGUGUUGCAUUCC